UUCCGGUUGAUCCUGCCAGAGGCCACUGCUAUCAGAGUUCGAUUAAACCAUGCGAGUCGAGAGGUGCAAGACCUCGGCAUACUGCUCAGUAACACGUGGACAACCUACCCUCCAGAAGGGGAUAACCCCGGGAAACUGGGGAUAAUACCCUAUAGGCUAUGAAUGCUGGAAUGCUUCGUAGUUGAAAGGUCCGCCGCUGGAGGAUGGGUCUGCGGCCGAUUAGGUUGUUGUUGGGGUAACGGCCCAACAAGCCUGUAAUCGGUACGGGUUGUGGGAGCAAGAGCCCGGAGAUGGAUUCUGAGACACGAAUCCAGGCCCUACGGGGCGCAGCAGGCGCGAAAACUUUGCAAUGCGGGAAACCGUGACAAGGGAACUCUGAGUGCCCGUAAAAUCGGGCUGUCCAUCGGUUUAAACAACCGGUGAAGAAAGGGCCGGGCAAGACCGGUGCCAGCCGCCGCGGUAAUACCGGCGGCUCGAGUGGUGGCCACUAUUACUGGGCUUAAAGCGUUCGUAGCUGGUUUGUUAAGUCUCUGGGGAAAUCUUCCGGCUUAACCGGAAGGCGUCUCAGGGAUACUGGCAGACUAGGGACCGGGAGAGGUGAGAGGUACUCCAGGGGUAGGAGUGAAAUCCUGUAAUCCUUGGGGGACCACCUGUGGCGAAGGCGUCUCACCAGAACGGCUCCGACAGUGAGGGACGAAAGCUGGGGGAGCAAACCGGAUUAGAUACCCGGGUAGUCCCAGCUGUAAACGAUGCGCGUUAGGUGUAUCGGUGACCACGAGUCACCGAGGUGCCGAAGAGAAAUCGUGAAACGUGCCGCCUGGGAAGUACGGUCGCAAGGCUGAAACUUAAAGGAAUUGGCGGGGGAGCACCACAACAGGUGGAGCCUGCGGUUUAAUCGGACUCAACGCCGGGAAACUCACCAGAUAAGACAGCUGAAUGAUAGUCGGGCUGAAGACUCUACUUGACUAGCUGAGAGGAGGUGCAUGGCCGUCGUCAGUUCGUACUGUGAAGCAUCCUGUUAAGUCAGGCAACGAGCGAGACCCACGCCAACAGUUGCCAGCUCGUCCUCCGGGAUGGAGGGGACACUGUUGGGACCGCCUCUGCUAAAGAGGAGGAAGGAAUGGGCAACGGUAGGUCAGCAUGCCCC
rnacentral:rRNA from 1 species